rnacentral:rRNA from 1 species
AACGGACGCUGGCGGCAUGCCUAACACAUGCAAGUCGAACGAGACCUUCGGGUCUAGUGGCGCACGGGUGCGUAACGCGUGGGAAUCUGCCCUUCGGUUGGGAAUAACUGAGAGAAAUUUCAGCUAAUACCUUAUAAUUUCUUCGGACCAAAGAUUUAUCGCCGAGGGAUGAGCCCGCGUAGGAUUAGGUAGUUGGUGGGGUAAUGGCCUACCAAGCCUACGAUCCUUAGCUGGUCUGAGAGGAUGAUCAGCCACACUGGGACUGAGACACGGCCCAGACUCCUACGGGAGGCAGCAGUGGGGAAUAUUGGACAAUGGGCGAAAGCCUGAUCCAGCAAGGCCGCGUGAGUGAUGAAGGCCUUAGGGUUGUAAAGCUCCUUUACCCGGGAUGAUAAUGACAGUACCGGGAGAAUAAGCUCCGGCUAACUCCGUG